rnacentral:rRNA from 1 species
GAUGAACGCUGGCGGCGUGCCUAAUACAUGCAAGUCGGGCGAACGGACGAGAAGCUUGCUUCUCUGAUGUUAGCGGCGGACGGGUGAGUAACACGUGGAUAACCUACCUAUAAGACUGGGAUAACUUCGGGAAACCGUAGCUAAUACCGGAUAAUAUUUUGAACCGCAUGGUUCAAAAGUGAAAGACGGUCUUGCUGUCACUUAUAGAUGGAUCCGCGCUGCAUUAGCUAGUUGGUAAGGUAACGGCUUACCAAGGCAACGAUGCAUAGCCGACCUGAGAGGGUGAUCGGCCACACUGGAACUGAGACACGGUCCAGACUCCUACGGGAGGCAGCAGUAGGGAAUCUUCCGCAAUGGGCGAAAGCCUGACGGAGCAACGCCGCGUGAGUGAUGAAGGUCUUCGGAUCGUAAAACUCUGUUAUUAGGGAAGAACAUAUGUGUAAGUAACUGUGCACAUCUUGACGGUACCUAACCAGAAAGCCACGGCUAACUACGUG